rnacentral:rRNA from 1 species
CCUACGGGAGGCAGCAGUGAGGAAUAUUGGUCAAUGGGCGCGAGCCUGAACCAGCCAAGUAGCGUGAAGGAUGACUGCCCUACGGGUUGUAAACUUCUUUUAUAAAGGAAUAAAGUGAGGCACGUGAGCCUUUUUGUAUGUACUUUCUGAAUAAGGAUCGGCUAACUCCGUGCCAGCAGCCGCGGUAAUACGGAGGAUCCGGGCGUUAUCCGGAUUUAUUGGGUUUAAAGGGAGCGUAGAUGGGUUGUUAUGACAGUUGUGAAAGUUUGCGGCUCAACCGUAAAAUUGCAAUUGAUACUGGCAGCCUUGAGUACAGUUGAGGUAGGCGGAAUUCGUGGUGGAGCGGUGAAAUGCUUAGAUAUCACGAAGAACUCCGAUUGCGAAGGCAGCUUACUAAGCUGCCACUGACAUUGAUGCUCGAAAGUGUGGGUAUCAAACAGGAUUAGAGACCCCUGUAGUC